rnacentral:rRNA from 1 species
AACGAACGCUGGCGGCAUGCCUAACACAUGCAAGUCGAACGAACCCUUCGGGUCUAUUGUCCCACGGGUGCGUAACGCGUGGGAACCUGCCCUUAGGUUCGGACUAACUCCCCGAAAGGGGUGCUAAUACCUGAUAAUGUCUUCUGACCGAUGAUUUAACGCGCUUGGAUGGGCGCGCGUUGGAUUAGCUGGUUGGUAGGGUAAAAGCCUAUCAAGGCGAGGAUCCAUAGCUGGUCAGAGAGGAUGAUCAGCCACACUGGGACUAAGACACGGCCCAGAAUCCUACGGGAGGCGGGAGAGGGGAAUAUUGGAAAAUGGGGGGAAGGAUGAUGCAGCAAGGCUGGGUGAGCGAUGAAGGUAUGAGGGUUGUAAAGCUCUAUUAACCGGGAAGAUAAUGACAGUACCGGGAGAAUAAGCCCCGGCUAACUACGUG